GCAUGUGGUUUAAUUCGAAGCAACGCGAAGAACCUUACCAGGUCUUGACAUCCCGAUGCUAUUUCUAGAGAUAGAAAGUUACUUCGGUACAUCGGUGACAGGUGGUGCAUGGUUGUCGUCAGCUCGUGUCGUGAGAUGUUGGGUUAAGUCCCGCAACGAGCGCAACCCCUAUUGUUAGUUGCCAUCAUUCAGUUGGGCACUCUAGCGAGACUGCCGGUAAUAAACCGGAGGAAGGUGGGGAUGACGUCAAAUCAUCAUGCCCCUUAUGACCUGGGCUACACACGUGCUACAAUGGUUGGUACAACGAGUUGCGAGUCGGUGACGGCGAGCUAAUCUCUUAAAGCCAAUCUCAGUUCGGAUUGUAGGCUGCAACUCGCCUACAUGAAGUCGGAAUCGCUAGUAAUCGCGGAUCAGCACGCCGCGGUGAAUACGUUCCCGGGCCUU
rnacentral:rRNA from 1 species